rnacentral:rRNA from 1 species
UACAGGGACCGAUCCAGCGUUGUUCGGAUUCACUGGGCGUAAAGGGUGCGUAGGUGGUUAGGUAAGUCCGAUGUGAAAUCUCCAGGCUCAACCUGGAAAUGGCAUUGGAUACUAUUUAGCUUGAGGAGUGGAGGGGGGACUGGAAUUCUCGGUGUAGCAGUGAAAUGCGUAGAUAUCGAGAGGAACACCAGUGGCGAAGGCGAGUCCCUGGACACUUCCUGACACUGAGGCACGAAAGCUAGGGGAGCAAACAGG